GAUGCGGUGGACGAGGGCAUGACCGAGCUCGCUGCCGCCCAGCUCGUGGUGCCGGGCGGCGACGGCCGCCGGUUCGACUUCCGGCACGCACUC
rnacentral:tRNA from 1 species